GUUGUGCACUUUGGUUGACAUCCUUUCUUUGUUCUUCAUGCAUUGAAUGUGUUCUUGAUUAGCUAGCUUUCUAGACUAUGAUUGCAUGUUCAAUAGGAUUGAUUUAGGUGCUUUCACUUAGAUCAAUUAUUCAAGGAAAGUAAAAUAUGGGAAAUCGUUUACUUAUUAACGUUUCACAUGGUCAACUUAUUUCUCAUGACAUUAGAUAAUCAACUAUAGGAAUUGUAAUUGGAUUUCAUUCAUAUGGAAUUGGUUUUGAUCUUUGUUUCUUAUGUGUACCCUCAAUCCCCGGAAUAG
rnacentral:lncRNA from 1 species